GGAGUCUGGGCCGUGUCUCAGUCCCAAUGUGGCCGUUCGUCCUCUCAGACCGGCUACGCAUCAUCGCCUUGGUGGGCCGUUACCUCACCAACUAGCUAAUGCGACAUGAGCCCAUCCCAAUGUGGUGGAAACCCACCUUUAAUAAUAUCGAGAUGCCUCAAUAUUAAUUAUCCGGUAUUAGCAUCCUUUUCAGAAUGUUAUCCCAGUCAAAGGGGUAGGUUGCUCAUGUAUUACUCACCCGUUCGCCACUAAGAUUCCUCAUCUUCAAGGUGCAAGCGCCUUUCCGUCGAGGCCUCUCCGUUCGACUUGCAUGUAUUAGGCACGCCGCCAGCGUUCAUC
rnacentral:rRNA from 1 species